GAUGAACGCUAGCGGCAGGCUUAACACAUGCAAGUCGAGGGGCAGCAAGGGUAGCAAUACCUGUUGGCGACCGGCAAACGGGUGCGGAACACGUACAGAAUCUACCUUUAUCUGGGGAAUAGCCCGAAGAAAUUCGGAUUAACUACCCCAUAAUAUAUAUGAGUGGCAUCACUUGAAUAUUAAAACUCCGGUGGAUAGAGAUGACUGUGCGUCCCAUUAGCUAGNGGUAGGGUAAGGCCUACCAAGGCGACGAUGGGUAGCUGGUGUGAGAGCACGACCAGCCACACGGGCACUGAGAC
rnacentral:rRNA from 1 species